rnacentral:tRNA from 2 species
GGGCGCUUAGCUCAGCUGGUUCAGAGCGUCUGCCUUACAAGCAGAGGGUCGGCGGUUCGAAUCCGUCAGCGCCCACAA